UACGGAGGGUGCGAGCGUUGUCCGGAUUUAUUGGGUUUAAAGGGUGCGUAGGUGGCUUUUUAAGUCAGUGGUGAAAUACAGCCGCUCAACGGUUGAGGUGCCAUUGAUACUGAAGAGCUUGAAACAAGUGGAGGCUGCCGGAAUGGAUGGUGUAGCGGUGAAAUGCAUAGAUAUCAUCCAGAACACCGAUUGCGAAGGCAGGUGGCUACGUUUGAUUUGACACUGAGGCACGAAAGCAUGGGAGCAAACAGG
rnacentral:rRNA from 1 species